rnacentral:rRNA from 1 species
AUUGAACGCUGGCGGCAGGCUUAACACAUGCAAGUCGAGCGGAGAUGAGGUGCUUGCACCUUAUCUUAGCGGCGGACGGGUGAGUAAUGCUUAGGAAUCUGCCUAUUAGUGGGGGACAACAUUCCGAAAGGAAUGCUAAUACCGCAUACGCCCUACGGGGGAAAGCAGGGGAUCUUCGGACCUUGCGCUAAUAGAUGAGCCUAAGUCGGAUUAGCUAGUUGGUGGGGUAAAGGCCUACCAAGGCGACGAUCUGUAGCGGGUCUGAGAGGAUGAUCCGCCACACGGGGACUGAGACACGGCCCAGACUCCUGCGGGAGGUAGCAGUGGGGAAUAUUGGACAAUGGGCGGAAGCCUGAUCCAGCCAUGCCGCGUGUGUGAAGAAGGCCUUUUGGUUGUAAAGCACUUUAAGCGAGGAGGAGGCUACCUGGAUUAAUACUCUAGGAUAGUGGACGUUACUCGCAGAAUAAGCACCGGCUAACUCUGUGCCAGCCGCCGCAGUAAAAC